UUUUUCUUCAGCAGGAAAAGAUGGCAUAUGAAAAAGACUUGUAGAGUCCAUGUGAAGUCCAAGGACCAAGCCACACACCAGAACGUCAUGCAAGAGGUUUAUUGCCUGUAACAUGAGGUAUCCAGACAAGGCAGCCCCUCCGAGAAGAGAAGCAGCUUGUGCUUACAGAGCAGCUUUACACCUCGCACAGGUUUCAUCCUGGAGAUAAAGUCCUCAUCAAGACCUGAAAGGAAGAAACCUGUGUGGGAAGAACCUUUUGUUGGGUUGCUGACGACUGAAACAGCCAUCCGGAUAGUGAAGGAAGGAAGGACGCACCACGCUGGAGUUGAAAAGAGUCUGAUUUCAGGCUAUGAUUGGACUGUCAGCUCUGGUGCUUCUGAUACCAAGCUAAUUUUUAAAUGCACAUAAAAUAACCCAAAUUUUAUGUUCCUUUUGAGCUUUCAAGGGUUUCUACUUGCUCUUCUGAUUUUCUUCUGUGCUACUGGUCUAUCCACUGUUGUUCCAGCUGAUUGGUCAUUUUGAGGAAAAUUUUUGCUCUGUUUGGUUUUUCCAGUGUUGACUCUCUGGUUUCAGGCAAUAAUGGACACUUUAUAAUCAACAUAAGCCAAACAACAAACCUCAAACCAUUGAAUUUGAUGGCUGUUUGGUAAUCUCUUGUGGUCAUCUACAGGUCCAAAGACAAUUAACUGCUGUAGACAAGUACAUUUGUCCCUACCAAAUAGGGUUGGACCCUUGUGGAUUUUGGAAUGAUAUCUGGUGGACCACUCAAUAUCAGGAGUGGACAUUCCCAUCUUGAUCCACCAGACCAGGGGGCGGGUAUUCCCCCACAGCUCAGUUCCUCCCUUAUUGAAACAAGAUAACAGUAGUCAGAACUGCUCCACCUAACUACAAAACUAACAAGGGCCUUGCUGGAAAAUUGUCCUUGCCUUACAACCCCUUCUCUCUGGAUCUGGAAUUUCGUUCCCUAAAUUUGGAUUGGGAGCAGAUGU
rnacentral:lncRNA from 1 species